UACGUAGGGGGCGAGCGUUGUCCGGAAUUAUUGGGCGUAAAGAGCGUGUAGGCGGUUUGGUAAGUCUGCUGUGAAAGCCUGGGGCUCAACCCUGGGCAUGCCGCGGAUACUGCCGGGCUAGAGGGUGGUAGAGGCGAGUGGAAUGCCGAGUGUAGCGGUGAAAUGCGCAGAUAUUCGGCGGAACACCAGUAGCGAAGGCGGCUCGCUGGGCCACACCUGACGCUGAGACGCGAAAGCGUGGGGAGCGAACAGG
rnacentral:rRNA from 1 species